rnacentral:rRNA from 1 species
GACCGUGCGAAGGUAGCAUAAUCAUUAGUUUUUUAAUUGAAGGCUAGAAUGAAUGGUUGGACAAGAAAUAAUCUGUCUUAAAUUAAUAUAUUGAAUUUAACUUUUAAGUGAAAAGGCUUAAAUAAUCUGAAGGGACGAUAAGACCCUAUAAAACUUUAUAUUGAAAAGUGAUAGGUAUAUUUUGUUUAAAGAAUUAUUACUUUAAAGUAUUUGGUUGGGGUGACAAAAAUAGAAGAUAAAGUAACUGUUUUUUUUUUAUACAAUAAUGUUUGGGUUAGUGAUCCUAAAAUGGAUUAAAGAUUAAGUUACUUUAGGGAUAACAGCGUAAUUUUCUUUAAAAGUUCUUAUCGAUAAGAAAGUUUGCGACCUCGAUGUUGAAUUAAAGGUUCUUUAUGGAGUAGAGACUAUAAAAGAAGGUCUGUUCGACCUUUAAAACUUUACAUGAUUUGAGUUCAGACCGGUGUGAGCCAGGUUGGUUUCUAUC